rnacentral:lncRNA from 1 species
GGGCGGGGGGCGACCUCUCCCCCACCCCCGCUCUCGGAGAGAUUCGGUCAAUUGGAGGGAGCGGGCCGGGCCGGGCCGGGCCGGGGAGAAGGAGCACAGUUCUGGAGGCCGGUGGGGACCCUCGCCGCCGCCGCGCCCCUCCCGCUCCCCAGCGCCCUCGCGGCCCAGUGGCUCCUGCGAGUCGGAGGCGGCCGCGGAGACUGAGCGACCGCGGGGACCGCCACGGGCUGGGCGCGGGUUCUCGGGCUCAACACUGCCACUGUCUGACACAACAGGAGCAGUGUUGGGGGAGCUGCGCGAUGAGACGCAAGACGUGAUAGGCUCUCCAAACUGGGACAACUGGACACUGCUGAGGGGAAGGACAGAGGAACGCAUAUGGACAUCCACGUACAGCUCCCUAACAGGGUGCCGGCAAUGAGCCGGGCAGAGUGCCUCAGUGCUAACAAAAUGUGACUUUUUAAUCUCUCUGAGUGUCCGUAUUCGAGCUGCAGAAGGGGGCCUUCUCAGGGCACCUGAGGAAUGGAAGAGACCAGCUACCUUACAGGACAUCCUAGGACAGAUACAGGACCCUUUGAGGACAUUUGGACAGAGUGGAGGGGCUUCCCCUUACUGCACAGGCGGGUUGGCUGCUGCUCAGCAUUCUGUCACAGAACCUCUUUGCUCUUGCAUCUUUCACAGGACUGUCGCACUGAAGGAGACCAAAGAGAAUGGAUUUGUGAAACCUAAACUCAAGCCCGUGGAGGACUCUGAUGGCCCGUGGGCCACUUCCUACAUCUCCAGUGGAGAAAGCACAGCGCCGAAAUCACAAGAUCUCAUCCACAAGCGUAUGGCUGACUGCUGUUCAUCUGAUCCAAAACAAAAGUCACUGUUUGAUUGCCUGAGAGCUAAGCCUUGA